rnacentral:rRNA from 1 species
GUGAGGAAUCUUGGGCAAUGGGCGAAAGCCUGACCCAGCGACGCCGCGUGGAGGAAGAAGGCCUUCGGGUCGUAAACUCCUGUUCGGGGAGAAGAACAGGAGGGAAGUGAAUAACUUCUCUCCCUGACGGUAUCCUCGGAGAAAGCUCCGGCUAAUUACGUGCCAGCAGCCGCGGUAAUACGUAAGGAGCGAGCGUUGUCCGGAUUUACUGGGCGUAAAGAGCUCGUAGGUGGUUUCUUAGGUCUCACGUGAAAUUCCCUGGCUCAACUGGGGAGGGUCGUGGGAAACCGAGAAGCUAGAGGGCAGGAGAGGAGAGUGGAAUUCCCGGUGUAGCGGUGAAAUGCGUAGAGAUCGGGAGGAACACCAGUGGUGAAGACGGCUCUCUGGACUGUCCCUGACACUGAGGAGCGAAAGCCAGGGGAGCGAACCGGAUUAGAAACCCUAGUAGUCC